AAAGGCUCCGGACGAUGGCGUGGAGCCCUGGAGAUGAUGAAUAUGCAGCAAGAGGUGCCGUGCCAGAUGAAAUAUGACCAACUAGUUACUUCAAGGUCCUCAUACCUGCCAGGAAGGACUGAAACUUGGAACUCAACAAUCCUACCUCUCAUCUAAUACACUACAAAGUCACCUUUUGGUAUCUUUGUCCAGUUAUGAGAAGCCCCAGCCAUCCGGGAAGCCAUCGUUAUGGUGCAGUGGAAUGCUUGCUAUAUUUCCUCAUGGAGAUGCACCUCUGGUGACAGGUGCUGACAGAAUUUCCAUCUUUGAGAGUGGCGGUACAGAGAACAUAGCUUCUAUGAUGCAUUGUCAGCUGACGGCUUAAAGUUCCCUCCUGUGUUUUCAAAGCCAGCAAUUGCAGGCUGCAUUGCUCUCACACUGUGAAUCUUCCUGUCCACUCCCACCUUGUACCAGGUAAGAGUCUCCUCUUUUCAGGACACGUGUGUUCAUACCAGGCUUGCCAAGAUAAUCUUCUCGUCUUAAGAUCCAUUCAUUUCAUCACGUGGAUAAAGGAGCUUUUGACAAGUAACAUAACAUUCACAGGUCUAGGAUUAGGAUUGGGAUUAAAUAAAUCUAGACAUAAGAAGGCUGUGGGAACGCUCAAGGCAAGGGGAGUGGUAGGUAUGGUGUUUCCUGAUUUCUCAGUGGCUU
rnacentral:lncRNA from 1 species